rnacentral:lncRNA from 1 species
CCCCGCCGGCGCCGCCCCCCGCUCCCCGCGCCCAGCCACCGUACCCGGCGGGGCACCGAGGGCGUCGGACCGAGUGGAAACUCCUGGCCAAGUUUCUCUCUCUCGAAGCCUCAAUUCUCUCCUCUGUAAAAGGGGGCUAAUGAUGACCCCUACUUCACAGGAUAAAGGGACUAAACUAGAUGAAGUGAGGAGGGGCAUGGGGAGGAGACUAACAGCGCUGAAGCAUCCACCUCACUCAUUUCUUAAUCUCCAGCCCCACCCCCUUACCCGCUCCACACCGCUCCCCCGCCCCACCCCCCGCCUCCUCUGUGGGUUCCCUAGUUGGCGCCCAACCCUCUGCUGGACCCGGGAAGGCCACUCUGGAAGUGAGUGGUUAGUAGAUGCUCCCUCUCCACCCAGAAGCCCUUUCCUGGAGCCCUCAUUAGCCCCGGCCUGGGGCCUCUAGUUCAGUGUUCAGGUUCAACGUUCAACAGCCCCCACGGCUUCCUCUAAUGCCUGUCUGAGUUGGACACCAGGGCCCCAGAAGGAACUUGGGCACAGUCUGGUUGAGGAGGCAGGACAGACACAGACAACUGCAGUUCUAAAGGGAGUGCAGUUGGCCUGUGGAUUCGACAACUAACAUGUAUGAGGCCAACGGUCAGUUCAUGUUUUGUGGACAGCAACCCUUUGACAGGGCCAUGGGAGUGCCCCUCUUAGAGCUGAGGAGACUGAGGCUCAGAGGCACGGCUUGUCUCAGGUCACACAGCAGAGUUGGGACUCACAUCCAGGUUUGUCUCAUCCUUCAUCACCCCUUCGAUGCCACAAAAGGGGACAAAGCAGGUCCCACAAGCACUAAGACACUGGUUGAGUUUUGCUUGGGUGAGGGGCUAGGGUGAGGCAGCACAUGAGCCUCCAAGGUUUACUCCACCCUUUCCAGGCUGGCCUUCUGGAAACCCAGGGCACUGAGGCUGGAGUUCCAGUUGCUCCAGCCAACUCUAGUCUCUCUAGUCUCGUUUUUAUUUAUUUACUUAUUUUUGAGAUGGAGUCUCACUCUGUCGCCCAGGCUAGAGUGCAGUGGCACAAUCUCGGCUCACUGCAACCUCCACCUCCUGGGUCCAAGCCAUCCUCCCAACUCAGCCUCCCAAGUAGCUGGGAUUAUAGGCACCUACCACCACGCCCAGCUAAUUUUUGUAUUUUUAGUAGAGACGGGGUUUCACCAUGUUAGCCAAGGUGGUCUCAAACUCCUGACCUCAAGUGAUCCGCCCGCCUCCAUCUCCCAAAGUGCUGGGAUGCUGGGAUUACAGGUGUGAACCUGUACCACGUCUGGCCCACAUGCACUUCUGACCAUCUCUGAUGUCAGUCUCUCUCCCAGGCUGCAGGCUCCUUGAGGGCAGGGGCUGAUGAUUGUAUCCUCAGGGCCUAACUCAGCGCUUGGCAUAAAGUAGAAACUCAAGGCGCAGUGGCUCACACCUGUGAUCCCAGCACAUUUGGAGGCUGAGGGUGGAUCACUUCAGGUCAGGAGUUCGAGACCAGCUGGCCAACAUGGUGAAACCCCG